rnacentral:lncRNA from 1 species
UGUGCUAGUGAUAGAUUAAUUAUGCUGAAUAGAUUUGUCUUGCAGUUUCCAGACGAGUUAUGUAAUUUAUUUUUUUAUUAGUUUCUAAAAAUCUCUUCCGACAUCCUUCCGACACAUCCGAUGUGACACCCAAAAAUUUUCAAUCUCCAAUCUAAACUGGGCCUAACUAGGGCCUUAGACGGUCUCCAUAGACCCAACCCAAACACAAGACACAUUUGACGAUUUGCGUUGUGCACAGUAAAAGAGUCUGACCCAUAACCUGCCUUCCCCAACAGCAGACACAAGAGCUUUGUUUGCUGAAACCAAGCCGCCGCGGCGCCCUCCUCCUUUCGUCAUCGAGCCUGCCAGCUGUCGGCCUGCCAUGAGGAAGCCCCGUCUUGUCCGAGCGCUGUCCACAGCCUCCGCUCCACCCGUUGCCCCCAUCGCCCUCCUCCUCCUCCUCCUCGAAGCCGCCCUUUCUUGCGGCGCCAUUCCUCGUCGGGGCCACGCAAAUGCCACAACACUCCUCGCCGUCACCUAUGUAGGGGCUUUGCGUGUCGCGUUGCAUGGGGAGGCCAUCGCGUUGCUUCGGUCCAUCUAGGUGGAGGUGGGAACCAGCGGCGCGCACCGAGGCAAAUGGCUGGUGGGAGUGGGAGAAGAAAGAGGAGAGGGAGGUGCUUACCUGCUAGAUUUGCUUCACGGAGAGAGGCGACGUGCUUUUGUGUUCUGGUUCAUCCACUAUGCAAAAUGGGUUCCCUGUAUGCAUCUUCUAUUAGAGCGUGUUUCCUUCAGCUAAAUUAUCGUGGAGGACACAUUUUGCAUUUGAGUCCCCGUUUGUCAACUCUAUAGUCUCUAUUAGAGACAGCCUUACCUGCUUGGUGUUGCUUUCUGGUUUAACAAUGCAGUUAUCUCUAUUAAGAGCAAGGUCAAUAAUAGAGCCAAGUGCUUGGCUAUAAGCCAAAUGAUUAGAGCUAAGUUAUACCAUAAGUUGUCUUAUACUUGUCUCUAAAACAUUUUCUCUUUUCUAUUACUUCUCACAACACUGAUUAUUUGGACCCACCACUACCUAUGCAUCCGUGCCCAGCUUGGUGCUUACAUAAGAGUAAGCUAUCAUCUCUUUCCUCUCUUCUCUCCUCCACAUCAGUAUUAGCUUGACUAUAAGUCCAUUAUUGUACUUGCUCUAAGGUUUGUUUAUGAUCAUGCAUGUUUUGAAUAUUUUUAUUCACGGCAGGGUCCACCUGAUGAUGAUUCUGCAGGAUGCGAAUUGUGUGCAGGAUGCAUACAAGUGUCCGCG